rfam:Eubacterium uniforme strain ATCC 35992 genome assembly, contig: EI43DRAFT_scaffold00003.3
UUUAACGAGAGUUUGAUCCUGGCUCAGGAUGAACGCUGGCGGCGUGCUUAACACAUGCAAGUCGAACGAAGCACUUUAUUUGAAACCUUCGGGUAGAUUAUUCUGUGACUUAGUGGCGGACGGGUGAGUAACGCGUGGGUAACCUGCCUCAUACACCGGGAUAACAGUUGGAAACGGCUGCUAAUACCGGAUAAGCAUACAGUACCGCAUGGUACAGUGUGAAAAACUCAGGUGGUAUGAGAUGGACCCGCGUCUGAUUAGCUAGUUGGUAAGGUAACGGCUUACCAAGGCGACGAUCAGUAGCCGACUUGAGAGAGUGAUCGGCCACAUUGGGACUGAGACACGGCCCAAACUCCUACGGGAGGCAGCAGUGGGGAAUAUUGCACAAUGGGGGGAACCCUGAUGCAGCG